AUUGAACGCUGGCGGCAUGCCUAACACAUGCAAGUUGAACGCGAAAGAGGGGCAACUCUCGAGUAGAGUGGCGGACGGGUGAGUAAUACGUAGGAAUCUGCCCUAGAGUGGGGGAUAACCUGUCGAAAGACGGGCUAAUACCGCAUAUACUCUGAGGAGCAAAGGUGGCUAGCAAUAGCCUUCGCUUUAGGAUGAGCCUACGUCGGAUUAGCUAGUUGGUAGGGUAAUGGCCUACCAAGGCAACAAUCCGUAGCUGGUCUGAGAGGACGAGCAGCCACACUGGAACUGAGACACGGUCCAGACUCCUACGGGAGGCAGCAGUGGGGAAUAUUGGACAAUGGGGGAAACCCUGAUCCAGCAAUGCCGCGUGUGCGAUGAAGGCCUGCGGGUUGUAAAGCACUUUCGUUGGGGAAGAAAUGCUCAAAGAUAAUACAUUUGAGAGCUGACGUUACCCAAAGAAGAAGCACCGGCAAACUCCGUGCCAGCCGCCGCGGUAA
rnacentral:rRNA from 1 species